GUAUUUUGAAUUAAGUAUUCAUAAUAGUUUUUCAGACAAAGAGUUGAGAUAUAGUUGAUGUUUGGGGCUGAUCCUCUCGAGAGAAAAUCAACCCUGACAUUGCACACAAGGUGGAUAUGGAUUUAAAAAAGUGCCAUAAAACACUUAUUAUGAAUGAUCCUUCCGCAGGUUCACCUACGGAAA
rnacentral:misc_RNA from 1 species